AAUAAGAAAAGAAAAGCAGCCAACCUGAGAGCAGAGCAGUUAGUCUCUCUGUUUUCUACGCAGAUUAUAAAUAAUCGUUUGUAUAUAAUUCCAUGAAAGUAAGGCUUAGUUGCACAUUUUAGAAGAAAAUAAAAAGCAAGAAAAAGCCAUGAGCGGCCUAUGACGCUUUUAAGCUGGAAGCUAUCAGAAAAAGUUUAGGUAAAAGGGCUAAAGAGAACCCAUUGUUUCUCUUUUGCUGAGGAUCAUCUCAGACUCAAAGCCACAUCAUUUUUGGGUCUAAGAGAUCUGAACUGGAUCCCAGGCUGUGAUUCCUGGCUCUGUAUCAAAUGGGCUCAUCUGCAGAUUCUGAAAGAUUGUUCAACAGGCAAAGAACCCUUCACGAGAUCCU